rnacentral:rRNA from 1 species
AUUGAACGCUGGCGGCAGGCCUAACACAUGCAAGUCGAGCGGCAGCGACUUAACUGAACCUUCGGGGAACGUUAAGGGCGGCGAGCGGCGGACGGGUGAGUAAUGCCUGGGAAUAUGCCCUGAUGUGGGGGAUAACUAUUGGAAACGAUAGCUAAUACCGCAUAAUCUCUUCGGAGCAAAGAGGGGGACCUUCGGGCCUCUCGCGUCAGGAUUAGCCCAGGUGGGAUUAGCUUGUUGGUGAGGUAAUGGCUCACCAAGGCAACGAUCCCUAGCUGGUCUGAGAGGAUGAUCAGCCACACUGGAACUGAGACACGGUCCAGACUCCUACGGGAGGCAGCAGUGGGGAAUAUUGCACAAUGGGGGAAACCCUGAUGCAGCCAUGCCGCGUGUGUGAAGAAGGCCUUCGGGUUGUAAAGCACUUUCAGUAGGGAGGAAGGUAGUGUAGUUAACACCUACAUUAUUUGACGUUACCUACAGAAGAAGCACCGGCUAACUCCGUGCCAGCAGCCGCGGUAAUACGGAGGGUGCGAGCGUUAAUCGGAAUUACUGGGCGUAAAGCGCAUGCAGGCGGCCUGUUAAGUCAGAUGUGAAAGCCCGGGGCUUAACCUCGGAAUUGCAUUUGAAACUGGCAGGCUAGAGUCUUGUAGAGGGGGGUAGAAUUUCAGUGUAGCGGUGAAAUGCGUAGAGAUCUGAAGGAAUACCAGUGGCGAAGCGGCCCCCUGGACAAAGACUGACGCUCAAUGCGAAAGCGUGGGGAGCAAAUAGG